UCCGCGAGUCAUUUUCUUUUAUCCUGUAUGACUAGAACAAGAAAAUGGUGUAAUAAGCUUAAUAGAAUUCAGAAACAAUCUCUUCUCUCUCACACACACAAACACAAAUGAAGUUUAUGAGUCACAUUGCGCAAUGGAGAAGCGGUGCGAAGGAAGCAUUAGACCGCACAGCGAUAAUCGCGAAGUUCCUUUGUUGCCUUCACUUCACCGACACCUACCUCUGUUCUCCAACUCACGUGUAUGGUCCUAGUAUGCUCCCUACCCUAAAUAUCGCCGGCGACGUUGUUCUUGUCGAACACCUCUCUCCACUUCUUGGGAACGUUGGUUAUGGUGAUUUGGUUCUUGUUCGCUCCCCUUUGAACCCUAAUCGGAACUUGACAAAGAGAAUUGUUGCUAUGGAAGGGGAUACUGUUACUUACUUUGACCCUUUGCAUUCUGAUUCCGAUCGAAUUGCUGUGGUGUGUGUGCUUAAUGGUGCCAAAGGGGCAUGUUUGGAUUCAAGGAGAUAACGUCUACGCUUCCCGUGAUUCACGUCAUUUUGGUCCCGUUCCAUUAGGUCUUAUAAAAGGAAAAGUGUUUUUCAGGGUUUGGCCACUCAAUAGCUUUGGACUGCUAGAUAACUGAAGAUACUUUAAAGAAAUGCUUAUAGUCAACCAUCCCUUAAAGUGCAUCUUAGUAUACUUGGGUGGAGCUUCAGUGAUUUCAAUGGAUGUGGCUGUUUGCAUGAGGAACACAUGAAUCAUGCUCCCUUUCUUGGCGACAAAGGAUACAUGUUUUAGCCUUUUAAAAAAAAACUUUAUAAAAGAACAGAGUGGACACUUACAUGCAGCAAGAACAAUUGGGUUAUGAACCAUGUAUUUUACCCCUGAUUUUUUUUUUUGCAGGGUAGGCUAACUUUGUUUUUAGUUGUUCAUUGUGAAUUUAUACCUGAAAUUACAGACAUAUAGAUUCAAAGAAGUACUUAAUCGUUCUUGCCUCAUUUGUCAGGUUGAUUGUUGUUUGCUAUGGUUAUGUGGAAUCUAGAGAUUCUAGACUGUUAAAAUA